GUUACUGGUUAGUUCAUUGUUGUUCCUCCUAUAGGCAGAGCGAAUUUUCUAAAGUUUUUUUUUCUCUUCCUUUAUAGUGGUAAUUAUACUAUAGUUUUUUUUUUUUUUUCCUAACAAAACUUUAUUACAUUUAUGUUAGGUCUCAGACCUGGGGCAAAUGGCUAACUGGGGUGCCUAUUAACAUAUCAGAGCAGACACUGUCGGCCAGUCUCUUACUAUCUCCAGUACCUGGAAUACUCCACCCCUACCCUAAGCAUGCCCAGCUCAGGGACUGGGCUAGGGUGUCCUUCCUGAGGCUGCUCUUUCCUCUAUAACCAAGACUUUUUGGCUCCAAGGUCCCUUUGACCCUUUUUGGGCCUCUUGCCCUCUGGGCCUCUGCUCCUGGUUCCCACCUGCCUCUCCCUGUACUCCUGUAUUCCUCACAUGGCCCUGUUCAGUUGGCCAGUCCUGUUCAGUCUGGAAUCUUCCAGAUGCCCCUGGCUAUGCUUUCCCUCAUAAAAUAAAAUUCCUCCUCGGCCACACCUGGGAGCAGUCAUGUCCUUCCUUUUCUUUGUCUUUUGUUUUCAUUCAAUUUAUAAUGUAUUUCAUCGGGCUGUGGGAUAUAUGGUAUGAUAAACUGUUAGCUAAUUAUACCUCAGCAAAAAGUAUUUUAGGAUUUUUUUUUGUCCCUAAAGAAUUACCUUAAAAAAGAAUAUAUACAAUUUGGGAUGUUGGAAAUAUAAAAUAACAUUAGGAAAAAAAAUCUGGAGGCCCAGUGAGUUGUUUGGGAAGGAAAGUGUUAUUGUUUUAAGUUCAGGUGAAAGGGGCCUGUGAAUUAAGCUAACAGAAGACCGGUUAAUGGGGGAAACGGCAUGUGACUCACUAACAUUAAUGUGUAUGGUAGUUCAUAGCGAAGUGAACUAGGAGAAGCAGUAGGAGUUUAUUGUCUGUUAUAAAGGAAGGAAGGAAGAGGGUUUGAGGUCAAAGGAAGAAUACAUUUGGGAAAAGAGAAAAUGUGAGUGGGGACCAGUGAACAAGAAUGUUCAUUGAGGUCUACUUACACACACACUCACAUACCCCCCACCCCCACACACAUAUGUGCAUACACGCACACAGACACUCACACACACUUACACACACACAUGUCCACAUACACAAACACACAUGCACAUGUACAUUCACACACGUGCACAUACACACACACACACACACACACACACGUACACACAUGUACACACAUGGACACACACACAUCUGGGUUCAUCAUUACCUUCAAUAAGAUUUCCAGGGAGAUGAGGAGGAUACUAAGACCUUGUCCCAAAUAUUUUCCCUUCCCCCACCCUACAUACUUUUGAUUCUAUGUUGUUAUCAUCUCAAAAUAACGCUCUUGCCAAAAUGACACUUUGAGACAGCUGUUGAGGGGCAAGUGUGUUUUGUACUAUAGUUUUGAGUAAGAACUUCCAUGGAAGGCUAGACAAGCCUGAUUCUCCAGAUAAUGUCCUCAGGUGCUCAAAGGAGGCCAUGGGGCUUUUAGCUGCCCUCUCUGCUCCAGCAACCUCUCUUGGGGGCAAGGGGGCUGUGACAUCAUGAUCGGCCAUCAUGACGCACAGCUUGUUCCCUGUCAGGGCUGUUAACAUUGAAUUAGUAAAGGCAGGUCCAUUAGACCCUUACCUGAGAGACCAGUCAGCCACAGGGUCUCCUGUCUGCUGCCCCCACAAGCACCACGUGGUCUUAGGGGCGGAGCUGGAAUAUUUAGGAGGUGGAAGGUGACUUGGAAGGGGUUGGAUCUCUUCAAUGAUACAGCUUUCAUGCCUUGUCACCCAGCUCUGUGGGACUCUGAUGCAGCUGCCUACGAGACACCCCUUCCUGAAACUUUAUGUGUUCCAGGAAAAGCUAUUGGCAUCUAAACAGGGACUCAUCCAAGACGGGCCCUGCUGUGGGUGACAAGAAAGGCAACCGAGGCUGAGCUAGCUAUUUCAGGGUGAAGCGUCUGCAGCAGAAUCCCCACAGCUCUGCUUCCCUAUGCUUCAAGGGAUGGACUACAUCCUUGCUGGGGUGCCAGUGGCCUACAUACCCUAGCUGAGCCGGCUGCCCAGUGGGGACUGGCUAGGGAGAUGUGUCCUCUGUGUAACCUUGGAGUUGACAGGAAAAGUGAGGCCUGGGGAGAAUGAGAUGGGGCUUGCUAUUUCUCGUGGCCACUGAAGGAGCAGAAGGAAAAGUUGUAGUUGCAAACUACAACUGCAGUAACGUGCUCAUCAGAUCCAAGUGAGGAGAACCCGGUAUGGGGAAAGGGGAAGAACAAGGUACAAUGGAUAAUGAAUGAGGAAGUGAUGUAUGGAACGGUUUACACUUGAUCCCCAGAGCUCAGGCCAGAUUCUGAUCAUUAAGAGUUAAGGAAAAUGUUCCUUCACCAGGGACCAUUUCUGAGCUCAGCAAACCUUCCCAGCAGGACCUGAUCUCUCCAAGACAGGCGCUCCAGUGGAUCUGAGUUAGAUCGGUGUAUAGAUCAGAGUUCCUAAGAAGCAAUGGACAAAGACCCAGAGUCUGUGCUGGGGGCCUUGGAAGGCUCUAAACCCUGAGCAGCAGUUUACAGAAGAGGCGAACAAUAUGGAUAUGGAGACAAUCUCUGUAAGUCUUGCUAUGGAAGAAGGAGUUCUCAUGGGGCAAGAACUACUCCAGUUGUUCCCUUAAUGGGGUAGCCAGGGUAGCCUUCAG
rnacentral:lncRNA from 1 species